rnacentral:tRNA from 1 species
GAGGCUGUGGCUCAGUGGUAGAGCACUUCCCUAGCAUGUGUGGAGCCCUGGGUUCCAUCCUCAGCACCACA